GAUGAACGCUGGCGGCGUGCCUAAUACAUGCAAGUCGAGCGAACAGAUGGGGAGCUUGCUCCUCUGACGUUAGCGGCGGACGGGUGAGUAACACGUGGAUAACCUACCUAUAAGACUGGGAUAACUUCGGGAAACCGGAGCUAAUACCGGAUAAUAUAUUGAACCGCAUGGUUCAAUAGUGAAAGACGGUUUUGCUGUCACUUAUAGAUGGAUCCGCGCCGCAUUAGCUAGUUGGUAAGGUAACGGCUUACCAAGGCGACGAUGCGUAGCCGACCUGAGAGGGUGAUCGGCCACACUGGAACUGAGACACGGUCCAGACUCCUACGGGAGGCAGCAGUAGGGAAUCUUCCGCAAUGGGCGAAAGCCUGACGGAGCAACGCCGCGUGAGUGAUGAAGGUCUUCGGAUCGUAAAACUCUGUUAUUAGGGAAGAACAAAUGUGUAAGUAACUAUGCACGUCUUGACGGUACCUAAUCAGAAAGCCACGGCUAACUACGUG
rnacentral:rRNA from 1 species